rnacentral:tRNA from 1 species
AGGAUUGUGGCUCAGUGGCAGAGCGCUUGCCUCACACAUAAGAGGCAUUGGAUUCAGUCCUC